GUCAAAUAAGUUUUUUUUUAUUUCCUACAUAUACAUAAAUAAAUAGGAAGAUAGCUUAAUCGUAAAGAAUACAAACUAUUACUUAUAAUUCGUUGACCAGCGUUUUUCGAGGGAUAAAAGUUUGGUUUUUUAUGACGUAACUAAAAUUGCGAUAUUUUAUAUUGAACAAACAUACUCUUGGAGUUUAAAAUUCUAAUAAAAUACGUUACUAAUAAUAGUUCCCAAAUUGAUUUUAUUUAGCAAACCUCAAUACGUUUGCAGUUUUUAUCGAUCGUCACUUUAUUGAUUUUCACAUUAAAAGUUGAAGAAUCAAUACAAUGUUAUUAAAUGAAAUACUUAAAUCGUUUUUUGUGAUUACAGAUACUGAUAGCAGUUGGGGGCUGAGAAAACUAAUGAAACUCAUUGGAAAAUGAAAUGCUUUGAACUUCCACCUGUAUGAACUGAGACAUAAUCACGUGUGAACCUUGGAGUAAUAAAGACGGAGCAAUUUCGAGGAUAAAGAGAAACCAGUUUUCCCGAAGAGAUACAUGAAGUUAUGCAUGCGUGAAUAUUUGAUUUAAAAUUAAACGAAAAUCAUAAAUUAGUAAUUAAUUCACUAACGAUGGUUUGACUUUAAAUUCUUAAAAUUUUAAACAGCCAAUUGAAUAUAAAAAUAUAAAAUCAGAUAUUCAAUUUUGCACUUUUACAAUAUACUACUGCUAUUGGAUCUUCUUCAUUUAAGAACUUCAAGAAUCAAUGCGAAGAGGAGUCACUUUAAUUUCAAAUUAUAAUUUCAAGGUGAUUGACAAAUAAAAUUCAUUAUGAUAAUAUUAACAUAUUUUACUCUUAACAUCAGAAUAAACUAAAAGCUGAAAUUUAAAAAAUAGUUCAAUACUUUACACAACUUUUUUAUGAUGAUUUUUCGGCUAGAGUCCUGAAUAAAGAGAUGACAACUUCUGUUUAUAUAUAUGCUGAUAUUUUGAAUUAAAUAAUACAGAAAGUAACAUGAACGGAAUUUUAUAAAAAAAAAAAAUAACAUUUUCUUUGUUAUAGUGC